rnacentral:rRNA from 1 species
AUUGAACGCUGGCGGCAUGCCUUACACAUGCAAGUCGAACGGUAACGGGCCUUCGGGUGCCGACGAGUGGCGAACGGGUGAGUAAUGUAUCGGAACGUACCUUUCAGUGGGGGAUAACGUAGCGAAAGUUACGCUAAUACCGCAUAUUCUGUGAGCAGGAAAGCAGGGGAUCGCAAGACCUUGCGCUGAUUGAGCGGCCGAUAUCAGAUUAGCUAGUUGGUGAGGUAAAGGCUCACCAAGGCGACGAUCUGUAGCGGGUCUGAGAGGAUGAUCCGCCACACUGGAACUGAGACACGGUCCAGACUCCUACGGGAGGCAGCAGUGGGGAAUUUUGGACAAUGGGGGCAACCCUGAUCCAGCCAUGCCGCGUGAGUGAAGAAGGCCUUCGGUUGU